AACGAACGCUGGCGGCAUGCCUAACACAUGCAAGUCGAACGAGACCUUCGGGUCUAGUGGCGCACGGGUGCGUAACGCGUGGGAACCUGCCCUUAGGUUCGGAAUAACUCCCCGAAAGGGGUGCUAAUACCGGCGAAUGUCUUCGGACCAAAGAUUUAUCGCCUUUGGAUGGGCCUGCGUUGGAUUAGCUAGUUGGUAGGGUAAAGGCCUACCAAGGGGACGAUCCGUAGCUGGGCGGAGAGGAUGAUCAGCCACACUGGGACUGAGACACGGCCCAGACUCCUAGGGGAGGCAGGAGGGGGGAAGAUGGGACGAUGGGAGAAAGCCUGAUCAAGGAAUGCCGCGUGUGGGAAGAAGGUCUUCGGAUGGGAAAGCAAUUUAAGUUGGGAGGAAGGGCAGUAAGUUAAUACCUUGCUGUUGUGACGUUACCAAAAGAAUAAGCAACGGCUAACUUAGUG
rnacentral:rRNA from 1 species